GAUCUGGCUCAGGAUGAACGCUAGCUACAGGCUUAACACAUGCAAGUCGAGGGGCAGCGGGAUUGAAGCUUGCUUCAAUUGCCGGCGACCGGCGCACGGGUGAGUAACGCGUAUCCAACCCUCCGUACACUCAGGGAUAGCCUUUCGAAAGAAAGAUUAAUACCUGAUGGUAUCUUAAGCACACAUGUAAUUAAGAUUAAAGAGUUUAUCGGUGUACGAUGGGGGUGCGUUCCAUUAGGUAGUAGGG
rnacentral:rRNA from 1 species